AAGGCCGCAAUGGAUCCAGCCCCCCAGAGGCCUUAAUGAGAAGAGUGCCUGCCAGCCGAGCCCGUCCCCCGAGCCUCAGCAGGAAUCCAGCAGGACCUCGUCACGGGACACAGCCACACGCAGCCCCCAGAUGAAAGAAUCUCUGAACCCUCCUAUAACUUAGCGGCCCCCACUUGGAGAUGUCUCACCUUCUCCGGCCAAACCAACGCAGUGAUUUAUGACUUUACCUGCAGUUCCUGUUUCCCUCAAACCUGCAAAGCCAAACUGCUUCAGGGCUCAAGGCUCCUUGGAUGUGUGGCCAUGGAGCUCUUAUUGGCUCAGAAUAAACCGCUUUAAAUUAUUUUACAGAGUUGGGGGGAGGGUAUUUCUAAUAACACUAGGAAGAGGGAGGAGAGAAUGAGGUCCAAGAGCAUUGCAGAAACCCCUCGGUCCCUGGCAAGCUGGGACAAUCAGUCACCCUAAUGCCAUCACUGAAGUAGCAGCAAGGGCACGAGGAGAAGCUGGGCGGAGCCAAGAGGAUGGUGCAUGAGCGACAAGGGAGCAUCAGAGGUCCCAGCAGGAGAGCAAAGCCCCAGGGAAAGCAUUUGCAGAGCUCAGCUAUAGCUCAGAGCAAGAGCACAACAUGUGGCCAUUUCCUUGUAUGGGCAUCUGGUCAACCAGCUCCCUAACCCUAAACAACCCUUAGCAUCCUGCCUGGCUGGCUGUGCUGCAAAGACAUUUUCCAAAUCAGUGAGAUGGCCGUGACACCUUCACCAACAGAAGAGAUGCUGGAAGAGCUACUAGCCCUUCAGCCCAACUGGUGAGAGCCCAGAAGGAAACUGAGGUGCUCAGAAGAAGGCAGGGCAUCAAGAUUAGAGAACAGAGCCAGAAAACUGAGGAGUGUGCUGUUAACGGAAAAACUUCCAAAUGCUGUAAAAUACUUUAAGGAGUCAAAACAUGUGUUGCGGUGGCCCAGGGAACAUGGUGUCAAAGGCCUUGAGGAAGUGUGCCUGAGGCCCGCCAGGUUACAGUUUAGUUUUAUACACUCUUGGAGGUAGGAAUUGUAGGUGAAACGAGAAAUCUAUACAUGGAAGGUAUACAUUGGUUUGGCCUGAAAAGGCAGGGCGAUUUGAAGUGAAGGCUUAUAGCCAUAGGUGGGCUUUAGGGAGCUUUUAGUUGGCAAUUGGUUAAAAGAGGUUCAACGUUGCC